UUACGGCCAGAUCACGCUAAAACACCGGUUUCCGUACGACCAUCGAAGGUAAGCAACGUCGAACCUAGUCAGUACCGAGAUGGAUGAUCGCUUAGGAAUGCCAAGUGGUGUAA